rnacentral:tRNA from 1 species
GGACGAUAGCUCAGAGGCAAGAGUAGCGGCACUUGAUGCCGACGGUCGCCGGUUCGAAUCCGGUUCGUCCACCA